rnacentral:tRNA from 1 species
GGCUCUGUGGUGCAAUGGAUAGCACAUUGGACUUCUAGAUUAGUGAAAAAGGGAAGCUAUCCAAAGGUUGUGGGUUCAAGUCCCAUCAGAGUCA